rnacentral:lncRNA from 1 species
GUUUGGACUCAGUGCUCCCAGCUGGAGUCAUGGUUCCUACUUAUUUGAAUGAUAACGAUCGCACCUCUUGGUCAUCAUGCUGGCAACCCACAUGGAUAAGUUUGUACCUAGAUCAAAACCCCUAGGAAAAAAGAUGUGAGGACGCAGAUUACUGAGGACUGCUACAAUCAAGUUUUAAAACUCCGUGGUAAGAAAACACAGCAUAAGGGGCAGGUCUUUCCUUGAACCUGGAGCUAGGCCAGCAGCUACGAAGUCUCAGGGAUCCUUCUGCCUUUACCCACUAACAACAGUGGAGGUAGGUGUACCUGUACGGCUACAUCUAGCUUUUAUAAUGUGUGUACUGGAUUCGAACUUAGGUCCUCAUCCCUGCACAGCAAGUACCCCCCACCCACUGAACCACCCCACAGCUGUUUUCUAGUACUUGCGGUCCCUCUGUACUUUGGUUGUGUCUGAAUUAUUAUACACACUGCAGACAGACUUUAUGACUAUAUAUCCUUG